UGAAGCUGAAGACCAUCCAACUGAGGUCAUUCCAGAUCCAGCUCCAGCUGAGCUGGCACAGACCAGAAGAUUAGCCAACCUGCACAAUCAUGAUCAAUAACAAACUGCAGUCGCUUUGAACUGCUGAAAUGUGUGGUUGGCAACAGCUUACCGAUACAAUGAUACAAUUUUAACAAAAAUCAAGGGCAUCCUUUAAGCUGGAGAUGGGUGAGAUUUCUCUGACUACCUCGAUUUGUGAAUGGGCUUGGUUAAUUGAAUAUUUUCCAGGUUCCGUUAGAAAGAAGUAAGAUGUGAAUUAAUGUUUGGUUGGUAGGAAUACCUACUGCUAUGGGUCCCAAACAGGGUCAAAGGGGAAGAGUCUGGGUGGUGGAUAGGGAUCAGGAAAUGAAUCUAUGUAGGGGUAGCACUUUAAAUGUAGCUUAGAAUUCUAAGUAACAGUUGGCCAAGAUGUUUGGGAGGAAGAGAAUGGUGAAUCCUUAUGAGGGAAGUGGACAGCUUGGGCAAGGCACAGUGCUCUGUAGAACAUAGAACUUGGGGGAAAUGCAAGUAAAUUGGCUUGUCUGAAGUAGAAUUGUGCCUAGAUAUGUACAACAGUAUCUGAAGGGAUUUAUCCGCUAUGUCUCUGGUACAAAGAAAUGUCCAGGAACAGGAAUAUAGAACUUCAUCUGCCUUAGAGCUUGUAAGAGAUUUCUUGGGGGAAUUAGAUGCCCAGGGAAGGUCUAGGCAAAGGCACUUGUGUGUGUCAGCUUAUAAGGAAUAACUGAUACGGUAUUACCACAUAGAGCUAGAACAGUUUCCUUUGAGCCAUUUCUUUAAGAAUAAAUACAAUUGUGAAAAAUUUAGGAUCUCUGGGCCUAGACUGAAAGACUUUGAAUCCCAGUCCUGCCACUGGUUAGCUCAUGGACUUUGGAUGGUGUGUGUAAUGUCUCUGUUCCUCAAUUUUCUGUGAAAUUGGUAUGAUAGGCUUCCUUCCCAUUCCCCACUGCCAUCCCCUGUCCUUAUUUCCAGAGUCUAAGUGUUACAGUUCAUGACCUGCUGGGGCCUAGCUCUUGACGUGGCUGUAUAUACCCCUUUUUGCCUAUCUUAUAUGUAGGAAAUCAGGAUUCAUGGGAGAUUGCAUGCCUAGUCUUGCUCUGUGUGACCAUACAGAAAGGCCUUUCCUGCCUUGUAACCUCAUGAUUGCAUUAAAAAAACAUUAAAUAGCUAGCUAAUGCUGAGAAAUUCAUUUCCCUCAUCUGUUCCUGCCUUCUAGGUUCAGGAAAUUCAAAUAUGCAUUUAACUUAUUUUUAACUGGUUGAAUUGCUUUCUCUAAAAAGAUAUGCUCAAAUCCUAAUCCCUGGUACCUGCAGUUGUGCCCUAAUUUGGAGACAGGUCUUUGCAGAUGUAAUCAAGUUAAGAUGAGGCUGCUCUGGAUUAAGGUAGGCCCCCAGUGCAAUGACUAGUGUUAAACAAGAGGGCCUUUUGGGGACAUACAGACACUCUCAGAAGAAAGAAGUCCGUGUGAUAACAGAGGCAGAGAUUGGAGUGAUGCAACUAUAAACCAAGGAACACCGAGGUUGCUGGCAACCACCAGAAGCAAGAAAGAGGUAAAGAACAGUUCCUCCUCAGAGCCUGCCCAGGGAGCAUGGCACUGUCCGACUUUGAUUUUGGACUAAGCCUUCAGAACUGUGAGAGAAGAAAUUUCUCAUGUUUCAAGCCUGAGGUAGUUUGUUAUAUCUCCUCUUGGAAAUGAACAUACCUAUGUUGAAAUAUGCAAAGAGACCUUAGAAUAUAGGCUAUAAAAGUAUGCAUUGAAUCUACUGGGUGUAAAAGCCAUAUUUCUGCAUCACUCUGCUGUGGCUAUUACAAAAGCUGCUAUCAAUAUUCUCAUCAGAAAGAAAUGAUCUUUGCAAGAAAUCAGAGUUUAAAUAAAGAAAUGAAGACUGUUGGCAAGGAAGAACUUUUUCUUCCUUUUAGAUCUUAUAGCUAAAACAUAGCCUUCCUGCUGCCAACAUUGAUAUUUAUCACCAUCUUUUCCUUAAAUUUAAAAACACUUCUAUUAAUGUUCCUUUCAGUGUCUCAGAUUAGUUUUGUUGGAUGAGAAUAAUCAUGAUAGCCAGAUCGUCAUAAGAUGCCUUUAUCAACUUUGGUUUGGUUUUGUUUUUGGCAGGCUUAGUGAAGCAAAUCAGGAAUUACCAGUUCCCCGGACACUUCUUUGUUCCUUAGCACAGGAAUUUGAAUGUAACAGUGACUGAUGAGGAAUGACAGAGCAUCUUGGAUGAAGAGAAAGAUACUUUGAAUGGAAAAGGAGGAAGGAAAGUGAAGAGAGAGUAUCUUGCAUAAAGUAAGUGCUUCACACACAUUGGUAGAAUCAUUUUAAUGGUUGAAAUCUUGAUCCUGCCUGUGGAACAUGGGUUCCAAAAGAAAAAGAACUGAAGCUGUUGAAUUAAACCUUGAAUUAAGAGACUCAGGAAGACUGUUCCAAUGGUUAUAAAAGAAAUACUGAUCUGUCCUUUGCUAGACUCUACCUGCCCUAUCAGGCUGGAGUAUACUGCUUCAGCUUAUAAUGCUCACUUCAGUUCUAGAGUCUCAGACGUAUACAAAAUACAAAGCAGAUAUCUCCAGAGAAGAUCAUGGAACUCAGAAAGAGACCUGUAAAUUUAAUAAAAGAUAUUCAGAGAAAAGUAUGAUAGUACUUUUUAUGCAGAAUAUCCAUUGAGCUAAACUUUGGAACCUGCGGCAUUCUUCGUUGUAAUUCUUUAAUUCAGGUCAAAAAAGAGAACACAGAUACCUGGAAGAGGCCAGCCUGACACAGGGACUGGAUGUCAAGAUGAAAUUGUGGAUGUUAUAUUAUGCCAGGCAGAGAACUUUGUAAUAUGGAACUAGGAGUCGUGAAAGCAGCCGUCCUUAUAAGAGAUGCUCAAACAUUCUCUUCACUUUUCACUUUA